rnacentral:rRNA from 1 species
CCUACGGGAGACAGCAGUGGGGGAUAGUGCACAAUGGGGGAAACCCUGAUGCAGCGACGCCGCGUGAGGGAAGACGGUUUUCGGAUUGUAAACCUCUGUCUUUGGGGACGAAGGGAGACGGGACCCAAGGAGGAAGCGCCGGCUAACUACGUGCCAGCAGCCGCGGUAAGACGGAGGGAGCAAGCGUUGUCCGGAAUUACUGGGUGGAAAGGGAGCGGAGGCGGGAUAGUAAGUUGAUUGUUAAAACUAUCGGCUCAACUGGGAGAGGCGAUCAAAACUGCAAUUCUUGAGUGAAGUAGCGUCAGGCGUAUUUCCUAGUGUAGCUGUGCACUGCGUCGAUAUUAGGCGGAACCCCAGUGGCGAAGGCGGCCUGCUGGGCUUUACCUGACGCUGCGGCUCGAAAGUGUGGGUAGCAAACAGGAUUCGAUACCCUAGUAGUC